rnacentral:misc_RNA from 1 species
AUGAGGAGCCAGCCAGUAAGCA